UAAUUGGGGAGGGUGGGACUCCGGCAAGUGCGCUUUAUCCUUCCUCUCCAGACAAGCCAGGUACACACACCAGCUGACAGCUCACCGCAAACAGCCUUCAGCCUAUCAACGAAUAACGACAUCCACCGCUGCAGCAGUUUCAGAAACGACCUGUAGAAUGAGUUACUACUCGGAUCCAGUUUCCUCCUAUCAGCCUCUUCAACCGCCUGACUGUCUGGGUGUAAUGAGGUCAAGUGGUGUGAUGGCAGUCACUAUGGUGCCACAGAUGCAGCCUCCUGUAGUGUGCCACCCACAAAACCCAACUCCAGCCAGACCUCUGUACGCCCAUCACAUCACCCUGCAGGAGGUCCCCAAUGGACCAGAAUACGGCA